GCUAAAAAUCUAGCCCACAAUAACUCUAUACUAAAAACCAACCUUAUAUUUUUUAAAUAAAACAUUUUAAUUUUCAAGUAAAGGAGAUAGAAAAAUUUUUUUGGAGCAAUAUUAAUAGUACCGUAAGGGAAAGAUGAAAUAAUAAUGAAACAAACGCUAAAGCAUAAAAAAGUAGAGAUACACCCUCGUACCUUUUGCAUCAUGGUUUAACUAGUCUAUACCAAGCAAAACGAAUUUAAGUUUGAACCCCCGAAACUAAGCGAGCUACUCCAAGGCAGCCUUAUGGGCUAACCCGUCUCUGUUGCAAAAGAGUGGGAAGACCUUUGAGUAGGGGUGAUAGACCAAACGAGCUUAGUGAUAGCUGGUUGUCUGGGAAAAGAAUUUUAGUUCACACUAAAGCCCAUAAAAGAAAAUUAACCUAAAACAAUUGCUUUAGAGUUAUUCAAAUAAGGUACAGCCUAUUUGAACUAGGAUACAACCUACACUAACGGGUAAGUUUUUAAAACUUUAUAUAAGUAGGCCUAAAAGCAGCCACCUUUAAAAUAGCGUCAUAGCUUUUAUAUAGCACACCCUCAAUACCAAAAAUAAUUUUUAACCCUUUAUCACUACCAGACUAAUCUAUAAAAAUAUAGAAUUAAUAAUGUUGAAACUAGUAUCAAGAAGAAAACCCUUCUCUUAAAUGCAAGUGUAAGACAGAAAGGAUAAACCACUGUCAAUUAACAUCUAUGACUUUAAAUAAGCAACACAACAAGAAAACCCUUAUUAAAACAAUGUUAAACUAACACAAGAACAUUUCAAGAAAGAUUAAAAAAAAAAGAAGGAACUCGGCAAACCUAAACCCCGCCUGUUUACCAAAAACAUCGCCUCUUGAAUAAAAUAAGAGGUCCAGCCUGCCCAGUGAAAUUAUUCAACGGCCGCGGUAUCCUAACCGUGCGAAGGUAGCGUAAUCACUUGUUCUUUAAAUGAGGACUAGUAUGAAUGGCACCACGAGGGUUCUACUGUCUCCUUUUUUUAAUCAGUGAAACUAAUCUCCCCGUGAAGAAGCGGGGAUCUUUAUAUAAGACGAGAAGACCCUAUGGAGCUUUAAACAACCAACAUUUGCUACACCAUAACAUUUACCCUAAAAGAAGUAUAGCAUUAUGAUUAAUAGUUUUCGAUUGGGGUGAUCACGGAGUAAAAUAUAACCUCCAUGCCGAAAGGGUUCUUACCCUGAGCAAAAAGCCACAGCUUUAAGCACUAAAAAAUUAACGCAGUUUGACCCAAUAUUUUGAUCAACGAACCAAGUUACCCUAGGGAUAACAGCGCAAUCCACUUCAAGAGCUCCUAUCGACAAGUGGGUUUACGACCUCGAUGUUGGAUCAGGGUAUCCAAGUGGUGCAGCCGCUACUAAUGGUUCGUUUGUUCAACGAUUAAAACCCU
rnacentral:rRNA from 1 species